UAGGGAAUCUUCCGCAAUGGACGAAAGUCUGACGGAGCAACGCCGCGUGAGUGAUGAAGGUUUUCGGAUUGUAAAGCUCUGUUGUUAGGGAAGAACAAGUACCGUUCGAAUAGGGCGGUACCUUGACGGUACCUAACCAGAACGCCACGGCUAACUACGUGCCAGCAGACGCGGUAAUACGUAGGUGGCAAGCGUUGUCCGGAAUUAUUGGGCGUAAAGGGCUCGCAGGCGGUUUCUUAAGUCUGAUGUGAAAGCCCCCGGCUCAACCGGGGAGGGUCAUUGGAAACUGGGGAACUUGAGUGCAGAAGAGUAGAGUGGAAUUCCACGUGUAGCGGUGAAAUGCGUAGAGAUGUGGAGGAACACCAGUGGCGAAGGCGACUCUCUGGUCUGUAACUGACGCUUAGGAGCGAAAGCGUGGGGAGCGAACA
rnacentral:rRNA from 1 species